rnacentral:rRNA from 1 species
GACGAACGCUGGCGGCGUGUCUAAUACAUGCAAGUAGAACGCAGUUGCGAAUGGGUGAGUAACGCGUAGGUAACUGCCCGGUAGCGUGGGAUAACUAUUGGAAACGAUAGCUAAUACCGCCUACUACCAGAUGGACCUGCGUUGUAUUAGCUAGUUGGUGAGGUAACGGCUCACUAAGGCAACGAUCAAUAGCCGACCUGGAAGGGUGAUCGGCCACGCUAGGACUGAGACGCGGCCCAGACUCCUACGGGAGGCAGCAGUAGGGAAUCUUCGGCAAUGGGGGGAACCCUUACCAGGCAACGCCGCGUGAGUGAAGAAGGUUUUCGGAUCGUAAAGCUAUGUUGUUAAGGGAGCGGUACUUGACCAGAAGGGGACGGCUAACUACGUGCCAGCAGCCGCGGUAAUUC